GCAAGUCGAGCGGAAACACAAGGGAGCUUGCUCCUGAGGUGUCGAGCGGCGGACGGGUGAGUAAUGCCUAGGGAACUGCCCAGUCGAGGGGGAUAAAAGUUGGAAACGACUGCUAAUACCGCAUACGCCCUACGGGGGAAAGGAGGGGACCUUCGGGCCUUUCGCGAUUGGAUGAACCUAGGUGGGAUUAGCUAGUUGGUGAGGUAAUGGCUCACCAAGGCGACGAUCCCUAGCUGUUCUGAGAGGAUGAUC
rnacentral:rRNA from 1 species